AAUACCAAAACAGCUUGUGUGUGUGUGUGUGUGUGUGUGUGUGUGUGUAUAUAUAUAUAUACACACACACACAAUGUAUGUACACACACAUACAUACAUACA